CCAUAAGCUUUGCUGGCGGAGGCGGGAUUUAUUAGCUGUACUGCAGCCCACCAUCAGAGGGUGCUGUUCUCGGAGUGGUUUCACCCAGCGAGGAGGCAGACUCUGUCCAUCUUAUAUACAGUCUAUGCAAUGUACUGCUCCUUUAAAAAAACAGUGUACUGCUCCUUUAACCCCCUCCUCCCUGAAAAACAGUGUACUGACCCUUUAACCCCCUCCUUCAAAAACAGGGUACUGCUCCUUUAACCUCCUUUCUUUUGUAAACAGUGUACUGCUCCUUCAACACCCCUUUAAAAAUAGUGUAUUGCUCCUUUCACCCUUUUUCCUUUAAAAUCAGUGUAAUGCUCCUUUAACCCUCUGUCCUUUGAGAAACAGUGUACUGCUCCUUGAACCCCCACCUUUAAAAAAUAGUGUACUGCUCCUUUAACCCCUUCUUUAAAAAAAGUGUACUCCUUUAAAAACAGUGUACUGCUCCUUUAACCCCCACUUCAAAAAAUAGUGUACUGCUCCUUGAACCCCUUCUUUAAAAAAAGUGUACUCCUUUAAAAACAGUGUACUGCUCCUUUAACCCCUUCUUUAAAAAAAGUGUACUCCUUUAAAAACAGUGUACUGCUCCUUUAACCUUCUUUCCUUUAAAAACAGUGUACUGCUCCUUGAACCCCCACCUUUAAAAACAGUGUACUGCUCCUUUAACCCCUUCUUUAAAAACAGUGUACUGCUCCUUGAACCCCCACCUUUAAAAACAGUGUACUGCUCCUUGAACCCCCACCUUUAAAAACAGUGUACUGCUCCUUGAACCCCCACCUUUAAAAACAGUGUACUGCUCCUUGAACCCCACCUUUAAAAAAAGUGUACUCCUUUAAAAACAGUGUACUGCUCCUUUAAUAAACAGACAGAUGACCAUCUCUCAGACCUUCUUUAGUCUUUAUGUGAAUCUCUUUGUUUGUUGGAUUGUUUGUUGGUUCUGAUGUUGGUUCUGAUGUCACACAGACCGGGUUGUUUUAGUGCAUUGAGACAAACAAGAAGUCUGCUAAAAACAGCAGGAAGUAAGUCAGGCUCCUUCACAAUAAGAGUCUGGUCCUCCCUUCAAAACAAGAGUUUAAAAAAAGAC